rnacentral:rRNA from 1 species
GGGGGGCGUGCCUUACCAUGCAAGUCGAACGGCAGCACGGGUGCUUGCACCUGGUGGCGAGUGGCGAACGGGUGAGUAAUACAUCGGAACAUGUCCUGUAGUGGGGGAUAGCCCGGCGAAAGCCGGAUUAAUACCGCAUACGAUCUACGGAUGAAAGCGGGGGACCUUCGGGCCUCGCGCUAUAGGGUUGGCCGAUGGCUGAUUAGCUAGUUGGUGGGGUAAAGGCCUACCAAGGCGACGAUCAGUAGCUGGUCUGAGAGGACGACCAGCCACACUGGGACUGAGACACGGCCCAGACUCCUACGGGAGGCAGCAGUGGGGAAUUUUGGACAAUGGGCGAAAGCCUGAUCCAGCAAUGCCGCGUGUGUGAAGAAGGCCUUCGGGUUGUAAAGCACUUUUGUCCGGAAAGAAAUCCUUGGCUCUAAUACAGUCGGGGGAUGACGGUACCGGAAGAAUAAGCACCGGCUAACUACGUGCCAGCAGCCGCGGUAAUACGUAGGGUGCGAGCGUUAAUCGGAAUUACUGGGCGUAAAGCGUGCGCAGGCGGUUUGCUAAGACCGAUGUGAAAUCCCCGGGCUCAACCUGGGAACUGCAUUGGUGACUGGCAGGCUAGAGUAUGGCAGAGGGGGGUAGAAUUCCACGUGUAGCAGUGAAAUGCGUAGAGAUGUGGAGGAAUACCGAUGGCGAAGGCAGCCCCCUGGGCCAAUACUGACGCUCAUGCACGAAAGCGUGGGGAGCAAACAGGAUUAGAUACCCUGGUAGUCCACGCCCUAAACGAUGUCAACUAGUUGUUGGGGAUUCAUUUCCUUAGUAACGUAGCUAACGCGUGAAGUUGACCGCCUGGGGAGUACGGUCGCAAGAUUAAAACUCAGAGGAAUUGACGGGGACCCGCACAAGCGGUGGAUGAUGUGGAUUAAUUCGAUGCAACGCGAAAAACCUUACCUACCCUUGACAUGGUCGGAAUCCCGCUGAGAGGUGGGAGUGCUCUAAAUAGAACCGGCGCACACGUGCUGCAUGGCUGUCGUCAGCUCGUGUCCUGAGAUGGUGGGUUUAGUUCCGCACGAGCGCACCCUUGUCCUUAGUUGCUACGCAGGAGACUCUACGAAACUGCCGGUGACAACCGGAGGAAGUGGGGAUGACGUCAAGUCCUCUGGCCCUUAUGGGUGGGGUGCGAGGCCUACAAUGGUCGAAACAAGGGUUGCCACCCGGGAGGGGGACCUAUCCCGAAAAACCAUCUAAACCCGAGUUGCCUUUGA